UACGAAGGGGGCUAGCGUUGCUCGGAAUCACUGGGCGUAAAGCGCACGUAGGCGGAUUCUUAAGUCAGGGGUGAAAUCCUGGAGCUCAACUCCAGAACUGCCUUUGAUACUGGGAAUCUCGAGUCCGGGAGAGGUGAGUGGAACUGCGAGUGUAGAGGUGAAAUUCGUAGAUAUUGGGAAGAACACCGGUGGCGAAGGCGGCUAUCUGGACCGACAUUGACGCUGAGGCGCGAAAGCGUGGGGAGCAAACAGG
rnacentral:rRNA from 1 species